rnacentral:lncRNA from 1 species
UCAUCCUCCCGCGUCCUCCCGGGCUCGCGCCGCUGUCACUGGAGCCCGCAUCCUCCGCCUCCCGCCGCCGCCGCGACCCCGCACCGGGAAUCAAGCCGGCGCGGAAAACCGCAAGGCCUCCUUCUCCUGGGACCCCCCUGGGCCCCACCCCCAGGACCUCCCACCUCUGCACGCCCUGAGUUCGCUUUUCCCAAUGCACUGGGCAGCUUGACUCCACGCCCACCUGACUGGACUGAGAAAACCGAAGAAGUUGGUGAGGGUACAGCAAUAAAUAGCAGGAGGAGCAGAAUUUGAAACAGCAGCAUGCCGGUCCUGCGCCUGGUGAAGGAUGACUCGCCAGAAAGCAAAGGCGCAGACCUACCUCCGCGAGCUUGGCGCGUGGCCCAGGAGGCUCCGCGAGCCCUUGUACGUAAGGAUCGUGGCGCCCACGCUUGAGAGCAGAGCUCAGUGCAAACUUCCAACAGUUCUUCCAGUUUCCAGGGAAACGAGAUUUGGAGCUGCUGCGCGUUGCAGAGCUGCCUCUCUGCUCCCCACAUGGGACCCCUGUGGCUGGCUGGUCUUGAGGAGGAAGGAAUUGAAGCCACCUCAUCCUUGAAGGAGAAUCAGAGAGAUGAUUGAUUCUCCAUGCCUGGCCUCUUUUGUUCCACGUAUGUUUGUGAAGUGUGUCCAUGACGCUGUACACAGCGAUAGCUCACUCAUUGCUGAUAAUGAAGCCCAGCAGCUUACCCAUUUCACUGCAGUAAACAACAUAUUGCUUCUUGUUUGUGUGUCCUGAAUCACGGAGACAUGCACUGUACACUUCCAUGAGUUUGGACAGUUGUCUACAUUUAUACAAACGACCACCUCUGGACUCACUGCUGUUCCAGCUUCUGCAAAUGCUAAGCUCAGCGUUUCCCCACACCAGGUCCGUGUGCUAAAGGUUUUAUUACAGUAUUUCCUAUGCAUGGUUGCAUGCAGUGGACAAUCUUGUCUGCCUGGUUUCAGUGCCUUUCAGACUUGUCCAAACUCUUGCAAGAAUCGAUUGAAUGUACUUAUUGCUGAAUAGAAUUCUAGUAAAAAGUGUUUCUCCAUUCACGA